rnacentral:rRNA from 1 species
AGCGAACGCUGGCGGCGUGCCUAACACAUGCAAGUCGAACGUGAAAAGGGAAACCUGAGUAAAGUGGCGUACGGGUGAGUAACGCGUAGGUAAUCUACCCCAGAAUCUGGAAUAACCUGCCGAAAGGCGGGCUAAUACUGGAUAGAGCGAGGGAACUCGUAAGAGAGUUUUUCGGGAAAGGGAGCCCGCAAGGGCCUUCGUUCUGGGAUGAGCCUGCGUCUCAUUAGCUAGUUGGUAAGGUAACGGCUUACCAAGGCGAUGAUGAGUAGCUGGUCUGAGAGGAUGAUCAGCCACACUAGAACUGAAACACGGUCCAGACUCCUACGGGAGGCAGCAGUGGGGAAUCUUGCGCAAUGGACGAAAGUCUGACGCAGCCACGCCGCGUGAGUGAAGAAGGCCUUCGGGUUGUAAAGCUCUGUCGGAUGGGACGAACAUCUUCAUAGUGAAUAGCUAUGAGGACUGACGGUACCAUCAAAGGAAGCACCGGCUAACUCCGUG